UAUCAUGCAAGUCGAGCGAAUGGAUUAAGAGCUUGCUCUUAUGAAGUUAGCGGCGGACGGGUGAGUAACACGUGNGUAACCUGCCCAUAAGACUGGNAUAACUCCGGGAAACCGGGGCUAAUACCGGAUAACAUUUUGAACNGCAUGGUUCGAAAUUGAAAGGCGGCUUCGGCUGUCACUUAUGGAUGGACCCGCGUCGCAUUAGCUAGUUGGUGAGGUAACGGCUCACCAAGGCAACGAUGCGUAGCCGACCUGAGAGGGUGAUCGGCCACACUGGGACUGAGACACGGCCCANACUAAUACGGGAGGCAGCAGUAGGGAAUCUUCCGCAAUGGACGAAAGUCUGACGGAGCAACGCCGCGUGAGUGAUGAAGGCUUUCGGGUCGUAAAACUCUGUUGUUAGGGAAGAACAAGUGCUAGUUGAAUAAGCUGGCACCUUGACGGUACCUAACCAGAAAGCCACGGCUAACUACGUGCCAGCAGCCGCGGUAAUACGUAGGUGGCAAGCGUUAUCCGGAAUUAUUGGGCGUAAAGCGCGCGCAGGUGGUUUCUUAAGUCUGAUGUGAAAGCCCACGGCUCAACCGUGGAGGGUCAUUGGAAACUGGGAGACUUGAGUGCAGAAGAGGAAAGUGGAAUUCCAUGUGUAGCG
rnacentral:rRNA from 1 species